AAUGGGCGAGAGCCUGAUCCAGCCAUGCCGCGUGCAGGAAGACUGCCUAUGGGUUGUAAACUGCUUUUAUACAGGAAGAAAAGCCUUACGUGUAAGGUGAUGACGGUACUGUAAGAAUAAGGACCGGCUAACUCCGUGCCAGCAGCCGCGGUAAUACGGAGGGUCCGAGCGUUAUCCGGAAUUAUUGGGUUUAAAGGGUCCGUAGGCGGAUGAUUAAGUCAGGGGUGAAAGUUUGCAGCUCAACUGUAAAAUUGCCUUUGAUACUGGUUAUCUUGAGUUGUAUUGAAGUAGGCGGAAUAUGUAGUAUAGCGGUGAAAUGCAUAGAUAUUACAUAGAACACCAAUUGCGAAGGCAGCUUACUAAGUACUAACUGACGCUGAUGGACGAAAGCGUGGGUAGCGAAUAGGAUU
rnacentral:rRNA from 1 species